rnacentral:hammerhead_ribozyme from 1 species
GUACUGCUGAAGAGUCCCAAACUAGGACGAAACGGUUGGCUGUCCUGUAU